rnacentral:piRNA from 1 species
UGGGAGCUUUGUGAGGUGACAAAGCAAAG